rnacentral:RNase_P_RNA from 1 species
CCAUAUACCCGAACUAUCGCUUCUUCAAGCAAUUGAAGGGGAGGAAAGUCCGGACAGCACAGGGCAACCCAUCCCGCUAACGGCGGGACCAUCGGGCAACCGGUGAGAGACAGUGCCACAGAAAAUAACUACCUCAGCAGGUGCAAGCCUGUUGCGGAAAAGGUGAAAACGUGGGGUAAGAGCCCACGGUUCGUUGUGGAAACGCAACGUUCGGGUAAACCUUGGGUGCUGUAAUGCCACGUAUAGUAACCGUAAAAGCGGCUCGCUUGUAUUCCGAAAGGAAUGGGUUACGGGGUAGGCAGCUUGAUUCGCAGAGCAAUCUGCAGAACAGAUAAAUGAUAGUGUAGAAACAGAAUCCGGCUUACGAGGUAUAUGGUUUU